rnacentral:rRNA from 1 species
AGAACGAACGUUGGCGGCGUGGAUGAGGCAUGCAGUCGAACGCGAAAGCUACUUCGGUAGUGAGUAGAGUGGCGAACGGGUGAGUAACACGUAAUCAAGCUACCCCCGAGACUGGAAUAACCGCGGGAAACUGCGGCUAAUACCGGAUAGUCCUGCUGGACCGCAUGGUCUGGUAGGUAAAUGGAUGGGAUCCUUCGGGACCUUCUGUUCGGGGAGGUGAUUGCGGCCUAUCAGCUUGUUGGUGGUGUAACGGACCACCAAGGCUACGACGGGUAGCGGGCCUGAGAGGGUGGCCCGUCACACUGGGACUGAGACACUGCCCAGACUCCUGCGGGAGGCUGCAGUCGAGAAUCUUCCGCAAUGGACGAAAGUCUGACGGAGCGACGCCGCGUGUAGGACGAAGGCCCUAGGGUUGUAAACUACUGUCACGGGUUAUGAAUGGAACGGUGUUAAUAGCGCCGGUUUUGACGUAAGCUCGAGAGGAAGCACCGGCUAACUCUGUGCCAGCAGCCGCGGUAAUACAGAGGGUGCAAACGUUGUUCGGAAUUACUGGGCAUAAAGCGCACGUAGGCGGUUUGGUUAGUGUGAGGUGAAAUCCCACGGCUCACCCGUGGAAUUGCUUUGCAUACUGCCAGACUAGAGGAAGGUAGGGGAGAGCAGAACUCUUGGAGGAGCGGUGAAAUGCGUAGAUAUCAAGAGGAAUACCAGUGGCGAAGGCGGCUCUCUGGUCCUUUUCUGACGCUGAGGUGCGAAAGCUAGGGUAGCGAACGGGAUUAGAUACCCCGGUAGUCCUAGCCGUAAACGAUGGAUACUAACUAGAGGCCCUCCUGAAGGGUCUCUGGUGAAGCAAAUGUAUUAGGUUCCCGCCUGGGGAGUAUGGUCGCAAGGCUA